AGCAGCUUGGCGCAGUGGAAGCGCGGUAUGUUUAACUGACUCCAUAAAAUCUACACAACUAACUCAUCUCAGCCGGGCUCAUAACCCGGAGGUCACUGGAUCGAAACCAGUAGCUGCUA